GGUUGUGAUUGCCUGGAUGUCAAGUGUUUGAUGCCCAGAGGAAGCUUGUCGGGGAGACUUGCCAUCGCCUUUUGAUAUCCGUCCUCUUCUCCUAUUUUACCUGGUUGAUAGGAGGUUGAAGUACAGGGUUGCUCAUUUAUAUCAUAAUCCUUCAUCUGCUUGCUGCUGAUUAUCUGAAGCCAACUCUGUAACAUUGUGCUCCCAGAGCUUCAGCUUUGCUGACAUCUCCUCCUUCUGGAUUGCAGCUUCUUUUAUAUAUAGCUGCCUACAGUUUAUGUUAGCCAGCAGCAAUAAUUAGUUAUUGAGUCAAUGCUACGCAAUGUAAUGCAAGGUGAUGGGUUGUGAAAUGUUUGGAUCUUUAUCAGAUGUUUAUUCAGAAACAUUUCAGUGGCUAUAGCAUUUGCUGUAAGUAAUUUCCAUAGCUUCAAAAGACUCACCUGGAGCCAUAACACAAUAAUAGAAAUGCUAAAUUUGUAUGCUAUUGCUACAUAAGGAGAUGAGCAAGAUUCCUCCUACAGCUGAUAAACACAUAACUUAACUACACUGAGAU